UACGUAGGGUGCAAGCGUUACUCGGAAUCACUGGGCGUAAAGCGUCUGUAGGCGGAAAAGUCAGUCUGGGGUUAAAGGUGGGAGCUCAACUCCCAUUCUGUCUUGGAAACUGCUUUUCUCGAGCAACUCAGAGGCAUCUGGAAUGCUGUGUGUAGGGGUAAUAUCCGUUGAUACACAGUGGAACGCUAAAAGCGAAAGCAGGAUGCUGGGGGUUUGCUGACGCUGAGAGACGAAAGCGUGGGUAGCGACCCGG
rnacentral:misc_RNA from 1 species